rnacentral:rRNA from 1 species
CGGGGGGGGGGCAAGCGUUGUUCGGGAAUUACUGGGCGUAAAGGGCGCGCAGGCGGCCUGGCAAGUCCUACGUGAAAUCCCACAGCUCAACUGUGGAACUGCGUGGGAUACUGCCAGGCUUGAGUCCGGGAGAGGAGAGUGGAAUUCCCAGUGUAGCGGUGAAAUGCGUAGAUAUUGGGAGGAACACCGGUGGCGAAGGCGGCUCUCUGGACCGGUACUGACGCUGAGGCGCGAAAGCUAGGGGAGCAAACGGGAUUAGAUACCCCGGUAGUCCUAGCCGUAAACUUUGAGCACUUGGUGUGGCGGGUAUCGACCCCUGCCGUGCCGAAGCUAACGCAUUAAGUGCUCCGCCUGGGGAGUACGGUCGCAAAGGCUGA